CUGAGUUUUCAACUCUCCAAACCAUGUGAACUUACCACUGUUGCCUCGGUGGUUUGGGUCUUCGGGCCUGACCACCGGCGGACUACUAAACUCUUGUUAAUUUUUAGCAUUCUGAAUCAUAACUAAGAAAUAAGUUA
rnacentral:misc_RNA from 1 species